UACGUAGGUGGCAAGCGUUAUCCGGAAUUAUUGGGCGUAAAGAGCGCGCAGGUGGUUGAUUAAGUCUGAUGUGAAAGCCCACGGCUUAACUGUGGAGGGUCAUUGGAAACUGGUCGACUUGAGUGCAGAAGAGGGAAGUGGAAUUCCAUGUGUAGCGGUGAAAUGCGUAGAGAUAUGGAGGAACACCAGUGGCGAAGGCGGCUUCCUGGUCUGUAACUGACACUGAGGCGCGAAAGCGUGGGGAGCAAACAGGAUUAGA
rnacentral:rRNA from 1 species